rnacentral:rRNA from 1 species
GUAGGGAAUCUUGCGCAAUGGGCGAAAGCCUGACGCAGCCAUGCCGCGUGAAUGAUGAAGGUCUUAGGAUUGUAAAAUUCUUUCACCGGGGACGAUAAUGACGGUACCCGGAGAAGAAGCCCCGGCUAACUUCGUGCCAGCAGCCGCGGUAAUACGAAGGGGGCUAGCGUUGCUCGGAAUUACUGGGCGUAAAGGGAGCGUAGGCGGAUAGUUUAGUCAGAGGUGAAAGCCCAGGGCUCAACCUUGGAAUUGCCUUUGAUACUGGCUAUCUUGAGUAUGGAAGAGGUAUGUGGAACUCCGAGUGUAGAGGUGAAAUUCGUAGAUAUUCGGAAGAACACCAGUGGCGAAGGCGACUCACUGGCCCGUUACUGACGCUGAGGCGCGAAAGCGUGGGGAGCAAACAGGAUUAGAAACCCGUGUAGUCC